ensembl:lncRNA
GGCUCAUUUUCAUAAUGACCAGCACAAAUUAGCAACUAUCGCAGCCAUGCCAAGCAUUGUGCAAAAUGUUUCACAAACUGAAAGAUGUGUUUGUGCUAUUAUUUCACACAAAGAAUUUUAUUAUGUUUUGAUUUUUUUUCACAGUUGAUAUACUUUUAAAAUGCAGGGGAGAAACGGACGUUUUCAAUUUUGUCACAUAUUAAUGGAUCAUGUUCAUAAUGUGGUGAACUACACCUGUGGUUAGUCUGCUUAGGUUGGAACUGACUUUAAACUGUACAUCCACUCAAAUGACUUAACAAGAGUCAGUUAAAAGUAAUUGCACAAAAAGUCUAACACAGCCAGUGGGGCCACAUGCCAAGCACAUGAAUAAACAGCAGAGGGCACCAUCUAAUCUAUAAACAGAAGCCUCACGUCAUAAAACAUAGUAGGGCAGUCAUUUGAUGUUACAGUUACCUAGUUCUCUACAGUUUGUGCUGAAAGCAUUGCAUAUCAGAAGACAUGCAUUAUCACAUGUGAUUUGAAUGGAUAAAGUGAGAAUAUAAUGUCAGAUAUCAGCACUCCUGUGUUCACAGCCCUUGAGGCAGGCAAUGGGAUUAAAACAGAGCUCACUGUCCCUCAGACCACCUGUCCAUGUGUAAAGUGGAGCGAAAUGCGGUAGACCCUUUGGGCAACAUGCUUCUGUCACGGUGUCUGUUCUGUGUCUCCCUGGGUGGCCACUAGAGGUCUCACUUCCCCUUAUCGUCACCCCACCUUAGAACUGCAUUUCCCAUAGUCUUGUCUGUUUCAUCACUGCUCAUUGCACUCGGCUGUCCGUGGUUACUAAUCAUUGCACUCAGCCAAUUCCCCGUUAGCAUUGUCAUUUCUCUGUGUAUAAAUACCCCGGUUGUUCUGUCAUUGUCACGGAGUCCUUGUUGAAUGUCACCCUGUGUUUUCCUGGUUCCCUGGUUUCUCGUGUUUCUGGAUGUUGUCUAUGUUUCUUGUUUUGGACGGAUUACCUGGAUUUUGACCUUUGCCUGGAUGUUUUCUGAUUUUGGAUCACCCCAAUAAACACACUGCUUUUGGAUCUACCUGUCUGUGUGCGUGUCGUGACAGCUUCUGUGUGAAUUGUUCUCCAUUUUAAUUCUUAAAAAUAAAGAUUCUUAAAUGGGUCUUUGUCA